rnacentral:tRNA from 1 species
GCCUGGCUGGCUCAGUUGGUGGAGCAUGUGACUCUGGAUCUUGGCGUUCUGGGUUCAAGCCCCAUGUUGGGUG